AGUGGACGCUGGCGGUAGGCCUAACACAUGCAAGUCGAACGGCAGCACAGUAAGAGCUUGCUCUUACGGGUGGCGAGUGGCGGACGGGUGAGGAAUACAUCGGAAUCUACUUUUUCGUGGGGGAUAACGUAGGGAAACUUACGCUAAUACCGCAUACGACCUACGGGUGAAAGCAGGGGAUCUUCGGACCUUGCGCGAUUGAAUGAGCCGAUGUCGGAUUAGCUAGUUGGCGGGGUAAAGGCCCACCAAGGCGACGAUCCGUAGCUGGUCUGAGAGGAUGAUCAGCCACACUGGAACUGAGACACGGUCCAGACUCCUACGGGAGGCAGCAGUGGGGAAUAUUGGACAAUGGGCGCAAGCCUGAUCCAGCCAUACCGCGUGGGUGAAGAAGGCCUUCGGGUUGUAAAGCCCUUUUGUUGGGAAAGAAAAGCAGCAGGUUAAUACCCCGUUGUUCUGACGGUACCCAAAGAAUAAGCACCGGCUAACUUCGUG
rnacentral:rRNA from 1 species